GAUGAACGCUGACAGAAUGCUUAACACAUGCAAGUCGAUGGGGAAGUGGUGCUUGCACCAUGGUAACCAUGGCGGACGGGUGAGUAACGCGUAAGGAACUUGCCUGCGGGACUGGGAUAACAGCAGGAAACUGCUGAUAAUACCGGAUAAGGUCAUUAAGCUGCAUAGCUUAGUGAUGAAAGGGGACGCCUGCGGAGAGCCUUGCGUCCUAUUAGCUAGUUGGAGGGGUAACGGCCCACCAAGGCGAAGAUAGGUAGCCGGCCUGAGAGGGUGGACGGCCACAAGGGGACUGAGAUACGGCCCUUACUCCUACGGGAGGCAGCAGUGGGGAAUAUUGGACAAUGGGGGCAACCCUGAUCCAGCAAUUCUGUGUGCACGAAGACGGUUUUCGGAUUGUAAAGUGCUUUCAGCAGGGAAGAAGGAAGUGACGGUACCUGCAGAAGAAGCGACGGCUAAAUACGUG
rnacentral:rRNA from 1 species